rnacentral:rRNA from 1 species
AGAAUCAACGCUGGCGGCGUGCCUAACACAUGCAAGUCACACGAGAAAGGGUAGCAAUACCUGAGUACAGUGGCGCACGGGUGAGUAACACGUGAAUAAUCUACCUCCGAGUGGGGAAUAAACUGAGAGAAAUCUUAGCUAAUACCGCAUAACACUUACGAGUCAAAGCAGCAAUGCGCUUGGAGAGGAGUUCGCGGCAGAUUAGUUAGUUGGCGGGGUAAUGGCCCACCAAGACGAUGAUCUGUAUCCGGCCUGAGAGGGCGCACGGACACACUGGAACUGAAACACGGUCCAGACUCCUACGGGAGGCAGCAGUGGGGAAUUUUGCGCAAUGGGGGAAACCCUGACGCAGCAACGCCGCGUGGAGGAUGAAAUCCCUUGGGAUGUAAACUCCUUUCGAUCGGGAAGAUAAUGACGGUACCGAGAGAAGAAGCCCGGCUAACUCGCGCCAGCAGCCGC